rnacentral:rRNA from 1 species
UACGUAGGGUGCAAGCGUUGUCCGGAAUUAUUGGGCGUAAAGAGCUCGUAGGCGGUCUGUCGCGUCUGCUGUGAAAACUCGGGGCUUAACCCCGGGCCUGCAGUGGGUACGGGCAGACUAGAGUGCGGUAGGGGAGACUGGAAUUCCGCGUGUAGCAGUGAAAUGCGUAGAGAUGCGGAGGAACACCGAUGGCGAAGGCAGCCCCCUGGGCCAACACUGACGCUCAGGCACGAAAGCGUGGGGAGCAAACAGG